CUGAACGAUGGCCAACGGCACUGGGAAUGGACGAAUGGAAAAGCAAACCGAUCACAGUAUCGCCUGUGCCACGGAAAAUGACGACAACCAACCGCAGAAAGAAGGCAUCCCUUUGUCCAGGAAACUGUGCUAUGCCAUUGGAGGAAUGCCUUAUCAAAUGACUGCAAACGCCAAGGGCUUUUUCAUGCAGAUCUUUUUACUGGAUGUUGUGAAAAUGGGAGCAUUUUAUGCAUCCCUCAUUCUCUUCCUCGGUCGAGCCUGGGAUGCUGUUACAGAUCCUCUUAUUGGAUAUGCUGUGAGCAAAAGUGGCCGGACCAGAAUUGGCAAACUCAUUCCUUGGUUAGUGUACUGGGAUUGUGUUCACCAUGCCGCUCGGGAUCCUGUCAUACAUCAUGCUCUGGUAUACCCCACAGGACACCAUGUCCCCUGCCUUCAGUUUCAGCUGGUACUUCAUAUGGUGUUGUUUGUUUGACACCUUUAUGAGUUGCUACCAUGUGCCAUAUUCCUCCCUAAACAUGUUUCUUGGGGGAAAUCAGAAGGAUCGAGACUCAGCUACUGGAUACAGAAUGGGCAUGGAAGUGUUCGCCACACUGGCAGGAGCCACCAUUCAGGGGCAGAUAGUCGGGGUUCACCAUGCCAAGAGAACACACGAUUGCAGUUUACAGAACAGCACGCAAGAGCUUUCCGGAAACUACACUGGCCCACUGGAUGGCAUUUCUGACACUUUACAAAAUACAGAGAAGAGCCUAUUUGACUGGCGCACUUGUGUUAGGAAUGCUGUACUUUCUGUGCUGCCUCAUACUUUUUCUUGGAGUGAAGGAACAGUUGGCGCCUCUGAGUAACCUGGACCGCAUAAAUGUCCCCUAUCUAACCGGAAUGAAGAUGGUUGUGGGACACACUCCAUAUGUGCGGCUUGUGUUUGGCUUCCUCUUUUCUUCGCUAGCCUUUCAGGUCAGAUGGGAAUUUUGCCCUCUUCUGUACUCAUGCAGCAAAUAUGGGAGGAUAUUUCCAGCAUCUUGUUCUUAUAUUACUGACAUCAGCGACAAUAUCCAUCCCAAUGUGGCAGACAAUAUUAGUCAAAAUAGGAAAGAAGACCACCAUAUUCAUCGGCCUUUCAGUUUAUAUCCCAGCUCUAACUGUAAUAUCUCUAGUGAACAGUAAUUUACCCGUCUUCAUUAUUAUGUCGGUGAUAUCUGGCACAAGUCUGGCAGCCCUCUAUCUACUCCCUUGGUCGAUGCUGCCAGAUGUAGUGGAUGACUUUAAAGUCAAGAACCCGUUGUGCCAGGAUCUAGAGCCACUGUUCUACUCCUGCUAUGUGUUCUUUAACAAAUUCGGAGGAGGAUUGUCUGUUGGAGUGUCCACCUUGGUACUACACUUUGUAGGAUACAAGCCUGGAGCUUGUAAACACAAUGAAAAGGUCAUUUACGCACUCCGGAUUCUCUUUGCCCCUGUGCCCAUCUGCCU
ensembl:processed_transcript